AACGAACGCUGGCGGCGUGGAUAAGACAUGCAAGUCGAACGAGAGAAUUGCUAGCUUGCUAAUAAUUCUCUAGUGGCGCACGGGUGAGUAACACGUGAGUAACCUGCCCCCGAGAGCGGGAUAGCCCUGGGAAACUGGGAUUAAUACCGCAUAGUAUCGAAAGAUUAAAGCAGCAAUGCGCUUGGGGAUGGGCUCGCGGCCUAUUAGUUAGUUGGUGAGGUAACGGCUCACCAAGGCGAUGACGGGUAGCCGGUCUGAGAGGAUGUCCGGCCACACUGGAACUGAGACACGGUCCAGACACCUACGGGUGGCAGCAGUCGAGAAUCAUUCACAAUGGGGGAAACCCUGAUGGUGCGACGCCGCGUGGGGGAAUGAAGGUCUUCGGAUUGUAAACCCCUGUCAUGUGGGAGCAAAUUAAAAAGAUAGUACCACAAGAGGAAGAGACGGCUAACUCUGUGCCAGCAGCCGCGGUAAUACAGAGGUCUCAAGCGUUGUUCGGAAUCACUGGGCGUAAAGCGUGCGUAGGCUGUUUCGUAAGUUGUGUGUGAAAGGCGCGGGCUCAACCCGCGGACGGCACAUGAUACUGCGAGACUAGAGUAAUGGAGGGGGAACCGGAAUUCUCGGUGUAGCAGUGAAAUGCGUAGAUAUCGAGAGGAACACUCGUGGCGAAGGCGGGUUCCUGGACAUUAACUGACGCUGAGGCACGAAGGCCAGGGGAGCGAAAGAGAUUAGAUACCCCUGUAGUCCCGGCAGUAAACGG
rnacentral:rRNA from 1 species